rnacentral:rRNA from 1 species
UGGGGAAUAUUGGACAAUGGGCGAAAGCCUGAUCCAGCCAUGCCGCGUGAGUGAUGAAGGCCCUAGGGUUGUAAAGCUCUUUCACCGGUGAAGAUAAUGGCGGUAGCCGGAGAAGAAGCCCCGGCUAACUUCGUGCCAGCAGCCGCGGUAAUACGAAGGGGGCUAGCGUUGUUCGGAAUUACUGGGCGUAAAGCGCACGUAGGCGGAUUGUUAAGUCGGGGGUGAAAUCCCGGGGCUCAACCCCGGAACUGCCUUCGAUACUGGCAAUCUAGAGUCCGGAAGAGGUGAGUGGAAUUCCGAGUGUAGAGGUGUAAUUCGUAGAUAUUCGGAGGAACACCAGUGGCGAAGGCGGCUCACUGGUCCGGUACUGACGCUGAGGUGCGAAAGCGUGGGGAGCAAACA